rnacentral:rRNA from 1 species
UAUACUGUGAAACUGCGAAUGGCUCAUUAAAUCAGUUAUCGUUUAUUUGAUAGUACCUUACUACUUGGAUAACCGUGGUAAUUCUAGAGCUAAUACAUGCUAAAAACCCCGACUUCGGGAGGGGUGUAUUUAUUAGAUAAAAAACCAAUGCCCUUCGGGGCUCUUUGGUGAUUCAUGAUAACUUAACGAAUCGCAUGGCCUUGCGCCGGCGAUGGUUCAUUCAAAUUUCUGCCCUAUUAACUUUCGAUGGUAGGAUAGAGGCCUACCAUGGUAUCAAUGGGUAACGGGGAAUUAGGGUUCUAUUCCGGAGAGGGAGCCUGAGAAACGGCUACCACAUCCAAGGAAGGCAGCAGGCGCGCAAAUUACCCAAUCCCGACACGGGGAGGUAGUGACAAUAAAUACUGAUACAGGGCUCUUUUGGGUCUUGUAAUUGGAAUGAGUACAAUUUAAAUACCUUAACGAGGAACAAUUGGAGGGCAAGUCUGGUGCCAGCAGCCGCGGUAAUUCCAGCUCCAAUAGCGUAUAUUAAAGUUGUUGCAGUUAAAAAGCUCGUAGUUGAACCUUGGGCCUGGCUGGCCGGUCCGCCUCACCGCGUGCACUGGUCCGGCCGGGCCUUUCCUUCUGGGGAUCCGCAUGGCCUUCACUGGCUGUGUCGGGGAACCAGGACUUUUACUUUGAAAAAAUUAGAGUGUUCAAAGCAGGCCUUUGCUCGAAUACAUUAGCAUGGAAUAAUAGAAUAGGACGUGCGGUCCUAUUUUGUUGGUUUCUAGGACCGCCGUAAUGAUUAAUAGGGAUAGUCGGGGGCAUCAGUAUUCAAUUGUCAGAGGUGAAAUUCUUGGAUUUAUUGAAGACUAACUACUGCGAAAGCAUUUGCCAAGGAUGUUUUCAUUAAUCAGUGAACGAAAGUUAGGGGAUCGAAGACGAUCAGAUACCGUCGUAGUCUUAACCGUAAACUAUGCCGACUAGGGAUCGGGCGAUGUUAUUCUUUUGACUCGCUCGGCACCUUACGAGAA